UUCAAAGAAACCUCAAAGGAAUUAUAAAGAAACAAUAACAAAUCUUAAAAAAAUAUUAGAAUGAUCACAAAUAUAUCUCAAAUACAUCUCAAUUCAAUCUUAAUUUAAUCCUAGUUAAAAUCCUAUUAGACUUCAUUCAAACUUUAGGCCAAAAACUAAUUAAAUCUUAAAUCCUAAAAAAAUCCUAAUAAAAUCCUAAAUCUUAAACCAAAUCCUAAUCAAAUCCUAAAUCUAAUCAAAUCCUAACCAAAUUCUAAAUCCUAAAUCAAAUCCUAAUCCUAAAUAAAAUCCUAAUAAAAUCCUAAAUCUUAAACCAAAUCCUAAUCAAAUCCUAAAUCUAAUCAAAUCCUAACCAAAUUCUAAAUCCUAAACCAAAUCCUAACCAAAUUCUAAAUCCUAAAUCAAAUCCUAAUCCUAAAUAAAAUCCUAAUAAAAUCCUAAAUCCUAUACCAAAUACUAAUCAAAUCCUAAUCCUAAAUAAAAUCCUAAUAAAAUCCUAAAUCCUAUACCAAAUGCUAAUCAAAUCCUAAAUUCUAACCUUAAAUCAAAUCCUAAUCAAAUCCUGAACUUUAAAUCAAACUCUGAUCAAACCCUAAAUCCUAAAUCAAAUCCUAAUCAAAUCCUAAACUUUAAAUCAAACUCUAAUCAAAUCCUAAAUCCUAAACUAAAUCCUGAAUUCUAAUUCUAAACCAAAUCCUAACCAAAUCUUAAAUCUUAAACCAAAUUCUGAACUCUAAUCCUAAAUCAAAUCCUAAUCAAAUCUCGAAUCCUAAACCAAACCCUAACUAAAUCCUAAAUCUUAAAUCAAACUCUAACCAAACCUAAAUCCUAAACCAAAUCCUAACCAAAUCUUAACCCUAAACCAAAUCCUAAUCAAAUCCUAAACCUUAAACCAAAUCUUAAACCAAAUUCUAACCAAAUCCUAAAUCCUAAACCAAACCCUAACCAAACCCUGAAUCCUAAAUCAAAUCCUAGCAAUUCCAAUACCAGAUUUAAAUCUCAAUUACUAAU
rnacentral:lncRNA from 1 species